rnacentral:rRNA from 1 species
GAUGAACGCUGGCGGCGUGCUUAACACAUGCAAGUCGAACGAGCGAGAGAGAGCUUGCUUUCUCGAGCGAGUGGCGAACGGGUGAGUAACGCGUGAGGAACCUGCCUCAAAGAGGGGGACAACAGUUGGAAACGACUGCUAAUACCGCAUAAGCCCACGACCCGGCAUCGGGUUGAGGGAAAAGGAGCAAUCCGCUUUGAGAUGGCCUCGCGUCCGAUUAGCUGGUUGGUGAGGUAACGGCCCACCAAGGCAACGAUCGGUAGCCGGACUGAGAGGUUGAACGGCCACAUUGGGACUGAGACACGGCCCAG